rnacentral:rRNA from 1 species
UACGUAGGGUGCAAGCGUUGUCCGGAAUUAUUGGGCGUAAAGAGCUCGUAGGUGGCGGGUCACGUCGGGUGUGAAAGCCCCGGGGCUUAACCCCCGGGUCUGCAUUCGAUACGGGCCUGCGUAGGGUCCGCAGGGGGAGACUGGAAUUCCUGGUGUAGCGGUGAAAUGCGCAGAUAUCAGGAGGAACACCGGUGGCGAAGGCGGGGUCUCUGGGCCGGUACCGACGCUGAGGAGCGAAAGCGUGGGGGAGCGAACAGG